rnacentral:rRNA from 1 species
AUUGAACGCUGGCGGCAGGCCUAACACAUGCAAGUCGAACGGUAACAGGAAGAAGCUUGCUUCUUUGCUGACGAGUGGCGGACGGGUGAGUAAUGUCUGGGAAACUGCCUGAUGGAGGGGGAUAACUACUGGAAACGGUAGCUAAUACCGCAUAACGUCGCAAGACCAAAGAGGGGGACCUUCGGGCCUCUUGCCAUCGGAUGUGCCCAGAUGGGAUUGGCUAGUAGGUGGGGUAACGGCUCACCUAGGCGACGAUCCCUAGCUGGUCUGAGAGGAUGACCAGCCACACUGGAACUGAGACACGGUCCAGACUCCUACGGGAGGAAGCAGUGGGGAAUAUUGCACAAUGGGCGCAAGCCUGAUGCAGCCAUGCCGCGUGUAUGAAGAAGGCCUUCGGGUUGUAAAGUACUUUCAGCGGGGAGGAAGGGAGUGAAGUUAAUACCUUUACUCAUUGACGUUACCCGCAGAAGAAGCACCGGCUAACUCCGUG